rnacentral:rRNA from 1 species
CCUACGGGGGACAGCAGUGAGGAAUAUUGGUCAAUGGCCGAGAGGCUGAACCAGCCAAGUCGCGUGAGGGAAGACGGCCCUACGGGUUGUAAACCUCUUUUGUCGGGGAGCAAAGCGAACCACGUGUGGUUCAUUGAGAGUACCCGAAGAAAAAGCAUCGGCUAACUCCGUGCCAGCAGCCGCGGUAAUACGGAGGAUGCGAGCGUUAUCCGGAUUUAUUGGGUUUAAAGGGUGCGCAGGCGGAUUUUUAAGUCAGCGGUCAAAUCGUGGGGCUCAACCCCAUCCAGCCGUUGAAACUGGGGAUCUAGAGUGUGCGAGAGGUAUGCGGAAUGCGUGGUGUAGCGGUGAAAUGCAUAGAUAUCACGCAGAACCCCGAUUGCGAAGGCAGCAUACCGGUGCACAACUGACGCUCAGGCACGAAAGCGUGGGUAUCGAACAGGAUUAGAUACCCGGGUAGUC